UCCGGCUUAUCACCGGCGGUUUCUUUAGAGUGCCCAACUAAAUGAUGGCAACUAAAGACGAGGGUUGCGCUCGUUGCGGGACUUAACCCAACAUCUCACGACACGAGCUGACGACAGCCAUGCAGCACCUGUCACUCAUCCAGCCGAACUGAAGAGGUCCAUCUCUGGUCCCCAAACUGGACAUGUCAAAGGUUGGUAAGGUUCUGCGCGUUGCUUCGAAUUAAAGAACAUGCUCCGCUGCUUGUGCGGGCCCCCGUCAAUUCUUUUGAGUUUUAGCCUUGCGACCGUACUCCCCAGGCGGAAUGCUUAAAGCGUUAGCUGCGCCACUGACGAGCAAGCUCGCCAACGGCUAGCAUUCAUCGUUUACGGCGUGGACUAC
rnacentral:misc_RNA from 1 species